rnacentral:lncRNA from 1 species
AAUAGAACAAACGACCAACUAUUGGAUUUGAAUGGAUGUCCAGUGCGUCGAUAAGGAAACAAGACGAUGGUAAGGAAAGGAAAAACACAAACCUUGACAAACCAAAGGAGCAGAUGAUCAAGAAGAAGCACGUCACCACAAACCUUGACGUGCCAAACCAGCACAUGAUCAACAAGAAGCACGUCAUAAACAGUAGAACCUGCAAAGUAAAAUAAAAUGAUAGAAAAACAUGGAGUUAGGAAGUAUACAUUUCAUCAAAUAGAAAAUAUGCAGGGCAAGCA